CUCAUGUCUCAGGCAGUCUUUCAGUUGUAGCAAAUCAGAUGGUGGCUCUGCAAAGUGAAUAAAACCUACACAUGGCAUGUCUACAAUAAGGACUACAUCAGAAAUACCUGAUAUCUUGCCCCUUCUUCACUGUGAUUUUCAUUUUUGUAUCUGCUUUAAACUUCUCUAAAUUUCUCUAGACUUCUUUAAAAUUCUCUAUAAUAUUACCAGUCUAAAGCAGAGGUUUCUGCAUAAGAGAAGAGAUGGCUGAUUUUUUUUUUUUUUUUUUUUCCUUCCCCAGAUGUUUCUUUUAGGACUGGACAUGAGAGGGAUCUGUUCCAAAUCUCAUGCUUUAAAACAGUACAAAAUGUUCAACAAUUCUAUGAAUGUAUGGCUGAUGUUCUCUUCACUGUUAUAACAGCUGAAGUAAAUGUUUUUAUGAAGCCUUCUAUUUCAUUUCACGGUAAAUGCAUACAGCCAUUUUACAGUCCUUUUUUUUUUUUUUUUUUUUUUAGUUUUACCUAGAUCUUAAUGAGCUUGUUUACUUGAGAAACAUCACAUUGUUAAUUCCACCAGCUAACCUGGGCAAAAGGCAUUCUUAGUAAGAAAGCCACAUGCUUGAAAAUUUUAUUUUGUCUAGCAAACCUAAAUUCAUCAUUAUUGCCUGCUAUUGAAUAUUUGACAGGAAUAUCUGAACCUUACAUGGAAAGGUGGAACACUGCAUCCAAAAGACUGACUGAAAUAAAGCAAGUCAAAUCAGUGAAGCCCUUUGAAGA
rnacentral:lncRNA from 1 species